rnacentral:rRNA from 1 species
UACGAAGGGGGCUAGCGUUGCUCGGAAUCACUGGGCGUAAAGGGUGCGUAGGCGGGUCUUAAGUCAGGGGUGAAAUCCUGGAGCUCAACCCCGGAACUGCCUUUGAUACUGAUAGUCUCGAGUCCGGAAGAGGUGAGUGGAAUUCCGAGUGUAGAGGUGAAAUUCGUAGAUAUUCGGAGGAACACCAGUGGCGAAGGCGGCUCACUGGUCCGGUACUGACGCUGAGGUGCGAAAGCGUGGGGAGCAAACAGG